GAUGGCUUCUCAGCCAAGGAAAGGAAGAUGUCCUAAAAAUAGAUUUGAAUGUGGUGGCUCAAGUCAGGCAUUUAGAACUCAACUCGUUUUUAAGGGCUAGUGUCCAGGCAGCUGUCAGACAAGGCAGACCAGAAACCAGUGUGAUCAGAUCCC